UAUCAAUAACGGAGGAAAAGAAACCAACAGGAUUGCCUUAGUAACGGCGAGUGA
rnacentral:rRNA from 1 species